rnacentral:rRNA from 1 species
AUUGAACGCUGGCGGCAGGCUUAACACAUGCAAGUCGAGCGGAGAUGAGGUGCUUGCACCUUAUCUUAGCGGCGGACGGGUGAGUAAUGCUUAGGAAUCUGCCUAUUAGUGGGGGACAACAUUCCGAAAGGAAUGCUAAUACCGCAUACGUCCUACGGGAGAGAGCAGGGGAUCUUCGGACCUUGCGCUAAUAGAUGAGCCUAUGUCGGAUUAGCUAGUUGGUGGGGUAAAGGCCGACCAAGGCGACGAUCUGUAGCGGGUCUGAGAGGAUGAUCCGCCACACGGGGACUGAGACACGGCCCAGACUCCUACGGGAGGCAGCAGUGGGGAAUAUUGGACAAUGGGGGGAACCCUGAUCCAGCCAUGCCGCGUGUGUGAAGAAGGCCUUAUGGUUGUAAAGCACUUUAAGCGAGGAGGAGGCUACUGAGACUAAUACUCUUGGAUAGUGGACGUUACUCGCAGAAUAAGCACCGGCUAACUCUGUGCCAGCCGCCGCUGUAAUAC